rnacentral:rRNA from 1 species
UACGAAGGGGGCUAGCGUUGCUCGGAAUCACUGGGCGUAAAGCGCACGUAGGCGGCUUUUUAAGUCAGGGGUGAAAUCCUGGAGCUCAACUCCAGAACUGCCUUUGAUACUGAGAAGCUUGAGUCCGGGAGAGGUGAGUGGAACUGCGAGUGUAGAGGUGAAAUUCGUAGAUAUUCGCAAGAACACCAGUGGCGAAGGCGGCUAACUGGCCCGGUACUGACGCUGAGGUGCGAAAGCGUGGGGAGCAAACAGG